rnacentral:rRNA from 1 species
GACGGAGGGGGCUAGCGUUGUUCGGAAUUACUGGGCGUAAAGAGUGCGUAGGUGGUUUAGUAAGUUGGAAGUGAAAGCCCGGGGCUUAACCUCGGAAUAGCUUUCAAAACUACUAAUCUAGAGUGUAGUAGGGGAUGAUGGAAUUCCUAGUGUAGAGGUGAAAUUCUUAGAUAUUAGGAGGAACACCGGUGGCGAAGGCGGCUAUCUGGUUCGAUUCUGACGCUGAGGUACGAAAGCGUGGGGAGCAAACAGG